rnacentral:sRNA from 1 species
AAAACAAAUACACUGAGCACAUCGGUGCCUAAUUCCUAUUACCCAGAUGAAACCCACACGAUGGCCAGCGAUACCAGCAGCCUGGUGCAGUCCCAUACUUACAAGAAGCGGGAGCCGGCCGACGUGCCCUAUCAGACCGGGCAGCUCCACCCCGCCAUCCGGGUGGCAGACCUCCUUCAGCACAUCACACAGAUGAAGUGUGCCGAGGGCUACGGCUUCAAGGAGGAAUACGAGGACCUACUACAAAGCAGUCAGUGACAUUUUGGAUAUGAAACAAAGACACAAGCAACAAAACCAAAAGUAGCAAGUAGGUUUAUAUCAAAGUAAAAAACUUCUGCACAGCAAAGGAAACAAUCAACAAAGAGAAAAAGCAACCUACAGAACGAGAGCAUAUAUUUGAAGACCAUAUAUCUGAUAAGAGGGUUAAUAUCCAAGAUAUAUAAAAAAUUCAUACAACUCAAUAGCAAAAAAAAAAAAAUCCUUAAAAAUGAGCAAAUAACCUGAUACAUUUUUCCAAGGAAGAUAUACAAAUGGUCAAUAGGUAUAAUAAAAGGUGGUCAACAUCGCUAAUCAUCAAGGAAAUGCAAAUCAAAACCACAAUGAGAUAUCACCUCACACCUUUUAGAAUGACAAAUCAACCAAAGUGUUGGCAAGGAUGUGGAGGAAAAGGAACUCU